UACGUAGGGUGCGAGCGUUAAUCGGAAUUACUGGGCGUAAAGCGUGCGUAGACGGCUAUCUAAGUCGGGUGUGAAAGCCCCGGGCUCAACCUGGGAAUUGCAUUCGAGACUGAAUAGCUAGGGUACGGUAGAGGGAAGUGGAAUUUCCGGUGUAGCGGUGAAAUGCGUAGAUAUCGGAAGGAACAUCAGUGGCGGAAAGCGACUUCCUGGACCAGUACCGACGUCAGGCACGAAAGCGUGGGGAGCAAACAGGA
rnacentral:rRNA from 1 species